AAAGUUGCAAAGAACUUUGAAGAGAGAGUUCAAAAGGACGUGAAACCGCUUAGAAGCAAACGGAUGGAGCAGACAUUAAGUCGGUCGUAUCCAACAGGACGGACGGUAGCCCGGCUAAGCCUGAUCGCCGAGACGGUCGUUGGUUGUGGUCUGCUGUUCCUUACUGUGCAUCUACGUCCGACUGCGUCACGACCGAACGACACGCUGACAUACAGCUUACUGAAAGCCGCGUCCGACUUCGGUCGGACGGCCCCUUUAGUUCCGCUUGUCUAGUCGUGUUGUUCGGGUAAAGACCGUACCCGCCUCUACUCAUGCAGUGUCGUAUCUUGGUUACGGAUUCUCUGUCGUGCUUGCACGGCUUGGUAACCUUGGCCUCUACACGGUGCUGUUUUGAGAUGGUACACAUGGUCAGUGGCGUCCGAGUCUGCCACCCAACCGACCCGUCUUGAAACACGGACCAAGGAGUCUAACAUGUGCGCAAGUCAUGGGGUUCUCUAAACCCACAGGCGUAAUGAAAGUAAAGGUCGGCUCUGUCGGCUGAAGUGGGAUCCCUCUCGCGGGGGCGCACCACUGCCCCAUCGAACCUGCUCGCCAGGUCGGUGGCGGAAGAGCGUACAUGUUGGGACCCGAAAGAUGGUGAACUAUGCCUGAGCAGGAUGAAGCCAGAGGAAACUCUGGUGGAGGUCCGUAGCGGUUCUGACGUGCAAAUCGAUCGUCAGACUUGGGUAUAGGGGCGAAAGACUAAUCGAACCAUCUA
rnacentral:rRNA from 1 species